UUGUUGCUUGCUUAUCUGUUCAGUUGAAGGCUGCCUUUAAAACUUUAUGGAUCAGUAAUUGUUGUUUGUCUUCGGCUUCACUAAAACACUAAAGCAAAUUGAAUCGAAACAGAAUAUAACAGAAACUGAAAUUAUCAUGGAUUUAUUUAAAAUCUUAAUAAUAUUUACAUGCUUCCUGUUAAUUGUGAUCGCGGCUCAGGGGAAUACAAUUAAUACGGAAUUUGUUAAAAUUAAUAGACGAUCACAGACAGUGCAGAAAACUCGCAAAUUAAGCCCCAUGAUUUUAACCGUACGACAUCGUUAUAUCUACUGUGGUGUGACCCACAAAGGCAAACCUCGACGUUGUUUUAAAAAUACAAAUUAAUUUCUUAACGUUUAGUUUUAGUUUAGUAUGUAGAUAUGUAGUAUAAGAAUAAAAAUAACAAUAAUGAAUAAAAAUAUAAAAAAAUA